CCUGCUGCCAGGACCGAGCCCGGAUCUGAGGGCAGCAGCAAGCACCACAGAAACUUUACUUUGGAUGGAAGUCUGAAGGCAGAAGGAGGCUGACCUUUGAAUUUUCCAGCACAGCCUUGACAAGUUCAGAGAGUGAGCGGAGAAGAAAGGGCAUGCCCACUAGCAAAUGCUCCAUCUCCCCGUUAUUUAUAUGGUCACAAAAGAAAGACUGAGAAGAAAAAAGACUUUUAUUUCUCACCAAGCACUCACUGCAGGGCUUCAUCUCAUCUCAUCAGCGAAUUCUCAUACGCCCCGGAGUUCAAACAAGGGAAGAGUCCCAGGUUCCCAGAAAUGGGGCAGUGAAGAUAAGAACAUCUGCCACUGGCAACUGCUUGGACACUUAGGAUGCACUGUGCCCUUGAAGUUGGUGACUUCUUAUGCCGUGCCUGUCCCCUCUGUCUAAAUCAACCCAUCGUGCCUACAAUUGACUCAGAUUUCUUCUCUGAAGCUGAAUUCAAGGGUCACAGCUUCUGGGAGGUCUGCCUACGGCCACAGUUGCUUUCCAAAGCUGACAAGGACAGAGGGGCCAAUUUGCCCAUCACCGCCUUUCAAGGCAGGCUCGCGACUGAGAACAGGCCAGGGAAUGCUCACCCAGUCCAGAUGGGAAAAGUGACAUUGAACCCAGGGACACCGAAGGACGUAAACGAAAGGGAUGUGAUGGAUUUGAAGACAUGAUGACAGCGGGGAAAGAUGGAUGGAUGUGUUAUGCUGUGGACCGGAAGAUUCCCAAACACUUCCCAAAAUACUUUGUGGUUGGAGAAA